AAAUAAGAAGCAAAUAAUUGCAAUCAGUUUCGACCUGAUAUUUAGAUAUUAAUAUUUAUCCUUAUUUU
rnacentral:tRNA from 1 species